rnacentral:rRNA from 1 species
AUGAACGCUAGCUACAGGCUUAACACAUGCAAGUCGAGGGGCAGCAUUUUAGUUUGCUUGCAAACUGAAGAUGGCGACCGGCGCACGGGUGAGUAACACGUAUCCAACCUGCCGAUAACUCCGGAAUAGCCUUUCGAAAGAAAGAUUAAUACCGGAUGGCAUACGAAUAUCGCAUGAUAUUUUUAUUAAAGAAUUUCGGUUAUCGAUGGGGAUGCGUUCCAUUAGUUUGUUGGCGGGGUAACGGCCCACCAAGACUACGAUGGAUAGGGGUUCUGAGAGGAAGGUCCCCCACAUUGGAACUGAGACACGGUCCAAACUCCUACGGGAGGCAGCAGUGAGGAAUAUUGGUCAAUGGGCGAGAGCCUGAACCAGCCAAGUAGCGUGAAGGAUGAAGGCUCUAUGGGUCGUAAACUUCUUUUAUAUGGGAAUAAAGUUUUCCACGUGUGGAAUUUUGUAUGUACCAUAUGAAUAAGGAUCGGCUAACUCCGUGCCAGCAGCCGCGGUAAUACGGAGGAUCCGAGCGUUAUCCGGAUUUAUUGGGUUUAAAGGGAGCGUAGGUGGAUUGUUAAGUCAGUUGUGAAAGUUUGCGGCUCAACCGUAAAAUUGCAGUUGAAACUGGCAGUCUUGAGUACAGUAGAGGUGGGCGGAAUUCGUGGUGUAGCGGUGAAAUGCAUAGAUAUCACGCAGAACCCCGAUUGCGAAGGCAGCCUGCUAGGGUGCGACAGACGCUGAGGCACGAAAGCGUGGGUAUCGAACAGGAUUAGAUACCCUGGUAGUCCACACAGUAAACGAUGAAUACUCGCUGUUUGCGAUAUACAGUAAGCGGCCAAGCGAAAGCAUUAAGUAUUCCACCUGGGGAGUACGCCGGCAACGGUGAAACUCAAAGGAAUUGACGGGGGCCCGCACAAGCGGAGGAACAUGUGGUUUAAUUCGAUGAUACGCGAGGAACCUUACCCGGGCUUAAAUUGCAACAGAAUAUAUUGGAAACAGUAUAGCCGUAAGGCUGUUGUGAAGGUGCUGCAUGGUUGUCGUCAGCUCGUGCCGUGAGGUGUCGGCUUAAGUGCCAUAACGAGCGCAACCCUUAUCUUUAGUUACUAACAGGUUAUGCUGAGGACUCUAGAGAGACUGCCGUCGUAAGAUGUGAGGAAGGUGGGGAUGACGUCAAAUCAGCACGGCCCUUACGUCCGGGGCUACACACGUGUUACAAUGGGGGGUACAGAAGGCCGCUACCUGGUGACAGGAUGCUAAUCCCAAAAACCUCUCUCAGUUCGGAUCGAAGUCUGCAACCCGACUUCGUGAAGCUGGAUUCGCUAGUAAUCGCGCAUCAGCCAUGGCGCGGUGAAUACGUUCCCGGGCCUUGUACACACCGCCCGUCAAGCCAUGAAAGCCGGGGGUACCUGAAGUACGUAACCGCAAGGAGCGUCCUAGGGUAAAACUGGUAAUUGGGGCU